GAUGAACGCUGGCGGCGUGCCUAAUACAUGCAAGUCGAGCGAACAGAUAAGGAGCUUGCUCCUUUGACGUUAGCGGCGGACGGGUGAGUAACACGUGGGUAACCUACCUAUAAGACUGGGAUAACUUCGGGAAACCGGAGCUAAUACCGGAUAACAUUUGGAACCGCAUGGUUCUAAAGUGAAAGAUGGUUUUGCUAUCACUUAUAGAUGGACCCGCGCCGUAUUAGCUAGUUGGUAAGGUAACGGCUUACCAAGGCGACGAUACGUAGCGGACCUGAGAGGGUGAUCGGCCACACUGGAACUGAGACACGGUCCAGACUCCUACGGGAGGCAGCAGUAGGGAAUCUUCCGCAAUGGGCGAAAGCCUGACGGAGCAACGCCGCGUGAGUGAUGAAGGGUUUCGGCUCGUAAAACUCUGUUAUUAGGGAAGAACAAACGUGUAAGUAACUGUGCACGUCUUGACGGUACCUAAUCAGAAAGCCACGGCUAACUACGUG
rnacentral:rRNA from 1 species